AUUGAACGCUGGCGGCAGGCCUAACACAUGCAAGUCGAGCGAGCGGCGGACGGGUGAGUAAUGUAUGGGGACUGCACGAUAGAGGGGGAUAACUACUGGAAACGGUAGCUAAUACCGCAUACUAUCGGAUAACCCAGAUGGGAUUAGCUAGUAGGUGGGGUAAUGGCUCACCUAGGCGACGAUCCCUCGCUGGUCUGAGAGGAUGAGCAGCCACACUGGGACUGCGACACGGCCCAGACUCCUACGGAGUCAGCAGUGGGGAAUAUUGCACAAUGGGCGCAAGCCUGAUGCAUCCAUGCCGCGUGUGUGAAGAAGGCCCUAGGGUUGUAAAGUACUUUCAGUCGGGAGGCGUUACCGACAGAAGAAGCACCGGCUAACUCCGUGCCAGCAGCCGCGGUAAUAC
rnacentral:rRNA from 1 species